GCAGCAGACAGCAAGGCAUUGGUAAACCCGCAGAAAAUGGCUCCAAAUAAGAAAUCCAAACCCAAACUCAACUCAGCCGAGUCAACUCAGUCUCCAUCCACUUCUCAAUCCAAAUUCCCCGCCUGCCUCCGCUCCGUUCCUCCUUCCUCCGUCGCCAUCACCAUCCACGCCAAGCCCGGUUCCAAGCUCGCCACCAUCACUGAUAUUAAUGAUGAAGCAUUAGGAGUCCAAAUUGAUGCCCCUGCCAAAGACGGCGAAGCUAAUGCUGCACUUCUUGAUUACAUCAGCUCUGUGAUAGGGGUCAAAAGAAGACAAGUUUCUAUAGGCUCUGGUUUGAAAUCACGGGACAAGGUUGUGGUUGUAGAGGAAGUAACUUUACAGGGUGUGUUUGAUGCGCUUGACAAAGUAUUAAAGGGCCAAUAAAAGGAAUAGUGCUUGACUCCAAGUCAUUGCAUGACUUGGACUCAGACUUCAUCAAAGUUGGCAGUGGUGGAAAUUUUGCGUGGAUUGGCUUUCCCACGUGAAAGAAUUUUGCAAUAGGCAGAUGCCUGUUGGCAUUUGGGAUCAAAAUGAUGAGCUUUAAAGCAGUUGCGAGACUGAGAUGUGAAGUGCUUUAUGCCUAAACUUUAAUACGUCCUGAUUAUUCUUGCCCCCUAAGAAACCACAGGCGAAUGGUCCUGACCUCGACAGCCAUUUUCAUCAGAUAUCAUGUGCUGAGAAGUGGCUGCUGACUCUAGUCUUCGGAACUCGUGUGAGAAAAAUUGGCAGUUUCAAUUUUUUUUUUUUUUUAAAGAUUGUAUUCUUCUGCCAAAUAAAGAGGGUAGAUUACAAAUUUCAAUGUCAAGCAAAAUUUUAAGUAUUUACAAAUAA